GACGAACGCUGGCGGCGUGCUUAACACAUGCAAGUCGAGCGAUGAAACACCUUCGGGUGCGGAUUAGCGGCGAACGGGUGAGGAACACGUGAGGAAUCUGCCUUCCACUCUGGGAUAACUCCGGGAAACCGGGGCUAAUACCGGAUACUUUCCACUUGCGGCAUCGCCGGUGGAAGAAAGUUGUUCGGUGGAAGCUGAUCUCGCGGCCUAUUAGCUUGUUGGUGAGGUAAAGGCUCACCAAGGCGACGACGGGUAGCCGGCCUGAGAGGGCGACCGGCCACACUGGGACUGAGACACGGCCCAGACUCCUACGGGAGGCAGCAGUGGGGAAUAUUGGGCAAUGGAGGAAACUCUGACCCAGCGACGCCGCGUGAGGGAUGAAGGCCUUCGGGUUGUAAACCUCUUUCAGCAGGGAAUAAGCGAAAGUGAAGGUACCUGCAGAAGAAGCACCGGCUAACUAUGUGCCAGCCGCCGCCGUAA
rnacentral:rRNA from 1 species